rnacentral:rRNA from 1 species
AUGGACUUUGCUGUUGCUUGUGUUUACCUGAACACAUCCCAUGAGGUUCUCAUGUCAGGAUCGAGCGGCGGGAACCCAUCCUUGGCCAGUAUGUUCCGGAACACUGGCCCCACCGCCGGCUGGCCAUCCUUCCCAGGCUUUCCAUCCUCCACCUGGAUCGUGAAAACCUGCUUCUUUGUCCCUUCCAUCCUCCAAGCUGCGUACCAGAGAGAAGAAGUGGAGCUUGGAGAAGGCACAAAUGGCUUGGAUCGAGCGGAGAAGAAGCCGGGCAAGCAGUAUCUGGCGCCCCUGCUGAUGCGAAGAGGAGAGAGCUUCCUUGCUAUAUAUGCAGGGGCACGAGGAGAUGGCCAAGCGGGGUUGUGCGCGUCCAAGGAGAAGGACCGCCAGGCGGGGCCCACCUGGUUAAGCCAAAACCGCUCAGCUCUUAGAGAGAUGGAGGGGGAGAGAGAGAGAGGAAGAGAGGGGAGGGAGGGAGAGUCUGGGAAGGAAGGAAUAGCUCUCCCAAGAAUUAAGCGUGGAGUGCUAAGCGCGUGA